UACGUAGGGGGCAAGCGUUGUCCGGAAUCAUUGGGCGUAAAGCGCGUGUAGGCGGCCCAGUAAGUCCGCUCUGAAAGCCCGGGGCUUAACCCCGGGAGGCGGGUGGAUACUGCUGGGCUCGAGUCCGGAAGAGGCGAGUGGAAUUCCUGGUGUAGCGGUGAAAUGCGCAGAUAUCAGGAGGAACACCGGUGGCGAAGGCGGUGCUCUGGGCCGUGACUGACGCUGAGGAGCGAAAGCGUGGGUAGCAAACAGG
rnacentral:rRNA from 1 species